rnacentral:rRNA from 1 species
CGGUAAUUCCAGCUCCAAUAGCGUAUACUAAAGUUGUUGCAGUUAAAAAGCUCGUAGUUGGAUUUCUGCGGGGACGGAGCGGCCGGACGCAACUUGCGUCUCGAGCUAGCGCUUUCCCCGCAUCCUGCCGCGAACCGUGCUACCAUUAGUUUGGUGGCGCUGGGGAUCGGCUCGAUUACUUUGAGAAAAAUAGAGUGUUCAAAGCAGGCCACACGCCUUGAAUAAGUUAGCAUGGAAUAAUGACUAAGGACUUCGGUUCUAUUUUGUUGGUGUUCGGGACUGAAGUAAUGAUUGAUAGGGACAGUUGGGGCGGUCUGUAUUCCAAAGCGAGAGGUGAAAUUCUUAGACCUUCGGAAGACAAACAGCUGCGAAAGCGUUCCGCAAGGAUGUUCCCUUUGAUCAAGAACGAAAGUUGGGGGAUCGAAGACGAUCAGAUACCGUCGUAGUCUCAACUAUAAACUAUACCAGCUAGGGAUCGGCCAACGUUUAAUUAUUCGACUUGGUCGGCACCCUAUGAGAAAUCAAAGCAUCUGGGUUCCGGGGGGAGUAUGGUCGCAAGGCUGAAACUUAAAGGAAUUGACGGAAGGGCACCACCAGCCGUGGAGCCUGUGGCUUAAUUUGACUCAACACGGGAAAACUUACCAGGUCCAGACAUAGGAAGGAUUGACAGAUUGAUAGCUCUUUCUUGAUUCUGUGGGUGGUGGUGCAUGGCCGUUUUUAGUUGGUGGAGUGAUUUGUCUGCUUAAUUGCGUUAACGAACGAGACCCCAGCCUGCUAAAUAGCGCGGCCGAGCUUUGCUCGGUGCGAGCUUCUUAGAGGGACCAUGAUGCGCGAUAGCACAAGGAAGUUUGGGGCAACAACAGGUCUGUGAUGCCCUUAGAUGUUCUGGGCCGCACACGGGCUACACUGGCGCCUGCAACGAGCAUAUCAGCUGGCCCGAGAGGGUCUUGGCUAAUCUUUUGAACCGGCGCCGUGCUUGGGAUUGACCUUUGCAAUUGUUGGUCAUGCAACGAGGAAUGCCUUGUAAACGCGAGUCAUCAGCUCGCAUUGAAUACGUCCCUGCCCUUUGUACACACCGCCCGUCGCUCCUACCGAUGAAUGUUCCGAUGAAAUUUUCGGAGAGCGCCAGAGAACGGGGCUCUGCCUUGCAGAUCUGGAGGCUCAAAGUCACUUAAAUCUGAACAUUUCGAGGAAGGGGAAGUCGUAACAAGGUAGCCG